rnacentral:rRNA from 1 species
AUUGAACGCUGGCGGCAGGCCUAACACAUGCAAGUCGAGCGGAGCGGCGGACGGAUGAGUCAUUCCUAGGAAUCUGCCUGGUUGUUGGGGAUAACGUCCGGCAACGGGCGCUAAUACCGCAUACUUUCCGUUGAAUCUACGUCGGAUUAGCUAGUUGGUGGGGUAAAGGCCUACAAAGGCUACGAUCCGUAACUGGUCUGAGAGGAUGAUCAGUCACACUGGAACUGAGACACGGUCCAUACGCCUACGGGAGGCAGCAGUGGGGAAUAUUGGACAAUGGGCGAAAGCCUGAUCCAGCCAUGCCGCGUGUGUGAAGAAGGUCUUCGGAUUGUAAAGCACGUUAAGUUGGGAGGCGUUACCAAAAGAAUAAGCACCGGCUAACUUCGUGCCAGCAGCCGCGGUAAUUC